rnacentral:rRNA from 1 species
ACGGGGCGCAGCAGGCGCGAAACCUUUACACUGCACGACAGUGCGAUAAGGGGACUCCGAGUGCGAGGGCAUAUCGUCCUCGCUUUUCACUACCGUAAGGUGGUAGUAGAAUAAGUGCUGGGCAAGACCGGUGCCAGCAGCCGCGGUAAUA